GUGCUCAAUUCAGCAGCACAUAUACUAAAGUUGGAAUGAUACAGAGAAGAUUAGUAUCCUGUACAAGGAUAAUAGGAAAAUUCAUGAAGCAUUCCAUAUUUUU
ensembl:snRNA U6 U6 spliceosomal RNA